GACGAACGCUUGCGGCGUGCUUAACACAUGCAAGUCGAACGGAAAGGCCCUGCUUUUGUGGGGUGCUCGAGUGGCGAACGGGUGAGUAACACGUGAGUAACCUGCCCUUGACUUUGGGAUAACUUCAGGAAACUGGGGCUAAUACCGGAUAGGGGCUCCUGCUGCAUGGUGGGGGUUGGAAAGUUUCGGCGGUUGGGGAUGGACUCGCGGCUUAUCAGCUUGUUGGUGGGGUAGUGGCUUACCAAGGCUUUGACGGGUAGCCGGCCUGAGAGGGUGACCGGCCACAUUGGGACUGAGAUACGGCCCAGACUCCUACGGGAGGCAGCAGUGGGGAAUAUUGCACAAUGGGCGGAAGCCUGAUGCAGCAACGCCGCGUGCGGGAUGACGGCCUUCGGGUUGUAAACCGCUUUCGCCUGUGACGAAGCGUGAGUGACGGUAAUGGGUAAAGAAGCACCGGCUAACUACGUGCCAGCAGCCGCGGUGAUACGUAGGGUGCGAGCGUUGUCCGGAUUUAUUGGGCGUAAAGGGCUCGUAGGUGGUUGAUCGCGUCGGAAGUGUAAUCUUGGGGCUUAACCCUGAGCGUGCUUUCGAUACGGGUUGACUUGAGGAAGGUAGGGGAGAAUGGAAUUCCUGGUGGAGCGGUGGAAUGCGCAGAUAUCAGGAGGAACACCAGUGGCGAAGGCGGUUCUCUGGGCCUUUCCUGACGCUGAGGAGCGAAAGCGUGGGGAGCGAACAGGCUUAGAUACCCUGGUAGUCCACGCUGUAAACGGUGGGUACUAGGUGUGGGGUCCAUUCCACGGGUUCCGUGCCGUAGCUAACGCUUUAAGUACCCCGCCUGGGGAGUACGGCCGCAAGGCUAAAACUCAAAGGAAUUGACGGGGCCCCGCACAAGCGGCGGAGCAUGCGGAUUAAUUCGAUGCAACGCGUAGAACCUUACCUGGGUUUGACAUGGAUCGGGAGUGCUCAGAGAUGGGUGUGCCUCUUUUGGGGUCGGUUCACAGGUGGUGCAUGGCUGUCGUCAGCUCGUGUCGUGAGAUGUUGGGUUAAGUCCCGCAACGAGCGCAACCCUUGUUCACUGUUGCCAGCACGUUAUGGUGGGGACUCAGUGGAGACCGCCGGGGUCAACUCGGAGGAAGGUGGGGAUGACGUCAAGUCAUCAUGCCCCUUAUGUCCAGGGCUUCACGCAUGCUACAAUGGCUGGUACAGAGAGUGGCGAGCCUGUGAGGGUGAGCGAAUCUCGGAAAGCCGGUCUCAGUUCGGAUUGGGGUCUGCAACUCGACCUCAUGAAGUCGGAGUCGCUAGUAAUCGCAGAUCAGCAACGCUGCGGUGAAUACGUUCCCGGG
rnacentral:rRNA from 1 species